rnacentral:rRNA from 1 species
GUCAAUUCUGCCCAUUGAGAGAAGUUCUUGAAAGGCCGCGGUAUACUAACUGUGCAAAGGUAGCAUAAUCAGUAGUUUCUUAAUUGGAGGCUUGUAUGAAUGAUUGGAUAAGAAUUAAACUGUCUCUCCUUUAAAAGACUGAAUUUUAUUUUUAAGUGAAAAAGCUUAAAUAAGUUAGAGGGACGAUAAGACCCUAUAAAUCUUUAUGUGAAUAUUUUUGUAUGGCGAUAUGUGAURAUGUUAGUGUUGUUAACAAAAGUAAGUUCAUUGUGCUGGGGCGGCAGAAAUAAAGAAAACCUAUUUCUAGAAAAUAACAGAUAUAUUUGUAAAUAAAAGAUCUUAAUUAUAGAUUUAAAGAAUAAGUUACUUUAGGGAUAACAGCAUAAUUUCUCUUGAGAGUUCUAAUCGAAAGAGAAGCUUGUGACCUCGAUGUUGAAUUAAAAUUUCCU